rnacentral:lncRNA from 1 species
ACAAGUCUCAAUAUAAGCUAAAGAAAAUGUUGUAUGAUAAUUUGUUUGUACGAAUCUCAAAUUUUUACAUUGAUAUUUUUAUUUAUUGUCAGGCACAACUUCGUCUAGCAAUAAACUGCAAAAAAUAGCACGCUGAAAAUCACGAAUAAGUUUGCAUCAACAAUCAAAGUGUCAAGAAUGGCCAGGGCUGCCUCAAAUGUUUUAUAUGCACCGUUGCAUUUUUUUUCUCAAAAUAUAAUAUGAAAAAUUUUCUAGUCGUCCUAGUUUAGCAAUAUUCUUUUUAUAUAUAUAAAAACAUGACAAAGUAG